GAGAGAGAGAGAGAGAGAAAUUUUUUAAUAAAUGACACAAGGUGUUUUGUUUGUUUUGGGGAACAGAUUUUACACAUCUCAAGUCAUCUUCAAACUGGAUAUGUAACUGAAGAUGACCUUGAGUUCCUGAUCUUCCUCUUCCACCUGCAUGCUGGGAUUAGAGGUGUACCCAGUGGCAAACACCCGGUUGUUUUAGUGCUGGGGACUGAAUCAGCUUGGUGCAUGCUAGGUCGGCCUUCUACUUGCAGAGUGACAUCCCCAAAUAAGCAAAAGAUUUUUUAAAAACAUUAGGUUCAUUUAGACUUUAGAGCAGUGGUUUUCAACCUGUGGGUCAAGACUCCAUAGGGGUUGAAUAUCAGCUAUCCUGCAUAUCAGAUAUUUACAUUACGGUUCAUAACAGUAGCAAAAUUACAGUUAGGAAGUAGCGAUAUAACAUGAGGAACUGCAUUAAAGAAUCACAGCCUUAGGAAGGCUGAGAACCACUGCCUUGGAGUGUCAAAACAGUUAUGUGGCUCAUUUGAAAAUGAGAAUGACUCGCUGGGCUGGGGGGCGCCUGCCUGUCACCCCAGCACUUGGGAAGCUGAGGCUGCAGGAUGGUAGUAAGCUUUUGAGGCCAGUCUGGGCUCAGCCACGGCUAAAGCGAGACCCUGACUCAAAAGGCAACAAGACCUGAAAGAAAAAGCAAAGAAGAAAUUAAAAGUAAGAAAAAAAAAUCUAAAUUUCCUGAGUUAGGUGCCAGGAAUCAUGCCUGUAAUUCCAGUGCUGGGAGACUGAGGCAGGACGGUUGCUCUGAGUAAGGCUGCCCUGGGCUAUACAGAUUCUGUCUCAAAAGCAAACCAAAGCAGACUUUUGUUUCUUCCAUGGAUUAAGAGAGUUGUUCUUCAGUUUUAGUAUAUUUGGGAUCCAGGAGUUAGGCUGGAUUCAAUAAAGGCCAUCUACUAAUUAGGCCAACAUCUCAUGAAACUGCUGAAAAAAAUCCAAUCAUGGGUCGGUGAGGUGGCUGAUGAACAGCACCUUGUCACAUGUUAGUGAAGGCCAGCCUAGAGAGAGACCCUUGAUCUCCUGCCUUCCUGCCCUCGCCUCCCAAGAGCUCACAUUAGUCUGUCACCACCGUGCCCAGCUUACAAUUUGUAUUUAAAAUAGCAAGAAAGACAGACCAAGUGAUCCGACCUGGAACCCAGCUCUUGAGAGGCCAGGCUAAAGAGCAUGGCUCUAAAUUCAUGACCAGUGAAAUCCCGUCUCGACAUGCCUAAAUAAAUAAACAAGAAUAAAGAAAGAUGACUGAUUUCUCGAUCAUUUAUGAAACUGGCGUAGCCAGGGUACGUAAAGCCGGUGGCCCACAUGUUCACUGCCUCAAACUACUUAGUAGAGAUCAGCAUGUAUUGUUUGAUCUUCUAAUACAGAAUGAAACCGAAGAGCACGCAGGCUGCAACUGGCAGAGAGGCCUUGCUCCAGUUCCUUCUAAUUUGAAGAAUUCCUUAAAAAAAAAAAAAAAAAAAAAAAAAAAGUCCCGUUUCACAGAAGCCAUAAAUUGGUGGCAUCCCUGGGCAGAGGGCCGGGCGCUCCGUCGAGAGAGCCUGCCGAUUGGUGAGCUGCGUUAUGGAGCUUGUUGUCCAUUGGUCGGGUCCCUGGAGCGUGAGUUACGGACCACAGAGGCCCGCGCCGCCGUCCCCAUGGCAACCAAGGCUUCGAAAAGCAACUCAUAUGGACACCGCCCCCAGCUCUUUGCGCAGGGGGCAGGGCGGGCUGGAGGAGAGCACCCAGGCCCGGGCCCGGCGCAGGGGGAUGAAGGGAUACGCACCGCCACCAGGAAGGAACCUGGACGAGCCACUCUCAAAGAAAACUUACCCGUAAUUCCACCUCCUCCUGACCUUCUCGGUUGGCAGCAUUUUGAACACAGAGCCUGGCACAGGCUAGCCCCCAGUACUCCAUUUGAGAAAAAAGAUGGAUUGACAAGACAGUGAGGCCGGUUCCUGCCCUUGUGGAGUCCUAGAGCCAGGGUCAUGACAGCCUUGGACAAUACACAUGCUUAGCCCCCGAGUUUCUCUGAAUCUUGCUGCUCUUCUGUCCAUCUCCACCUUCCAGGUUCCAGACAUUAUUUCCCACCAGAUCUUGAUUUGUAGCAGAGGCCAGCUUCAAACUUGCCAUCCUCCUGCAUCAGCCCCUGGAGUGUGGGAAUGUUAGGCGUGAACCACCUUGGUGUUGAGGUUGUCAGGCUGGUCUUGAUCUCAUUAUAGAUAAAACUUUGAGGCUGGUCUCUGGUUUUGAUCCUCCUGGCUCAGCCUCCCGAGUGUCAGUGCUAGGACUGUAGGUGUGCAUCACCUUGGGACCAACCUGGCAGGAAUGAAGAUACUCUAAAGAGAUACUCCCGACCUUUCUUCGGUUCUGAGGUUAUCAACAAAGUGAAAUCCAAGAACAUUUCCUCACGAGUUUUAUCCUGGGAAAAGAAAACGACUGACCAGUGGUGACAGCCAGAUGGGAGCUUGUCUUCAGGACAGAGAUCUCACAGUCCUGACAACUUGCCAGACUAUCUUGUGAGAUCCACUGGCGCUCAGAGCACCGCCACAGCAUGGCCAGGACUGCUCAGUUAUGCUGACCCCUAUUUAACCCGAAACUUACCUUAGGACCCCCAAGAUGGACCUGGACCUCUGUGUCCCUCUUCCCAAAGUGGCUACAUUGAAUAAAUCUCUUUUCUCUGCUUUU